AGCAGCCGCGGUAAAUUCCAGCUCCAAUAGCGUAUAUUAAAGUUGUUGCAGUUAAAAAGCUCGUAGUUGAAUUUCGGGGUCAGCAGGUUGGUCGUGCCACUGGUAUGUACUGGCUUCGCUGAUUCCUCCUUUCUGAAGAACUGUAAUGUCAUUAAUUUGGUGUUGCAGGGAAACAGGGCUGUUGCUUUGAAAAAAUUAGAGUGUUUAAAGCAGGCUAACGCUUGAAUACAUUAGCAUGGAAUAAUGAAAUAGGACGUUCGAUCCUAUUUUGUUGGUUUCUAGGAUUGACGUAAUGAUUAAUAGGGAUAGUUGGGGGCAUUAGUAUUCAAUUGUCAGAGGUGAAAUUCUUGGAUUUAUUGAAGACUAACUACUGCGAAAGCAUUUGCCAAGGAUGUUUU
rnacentral:rRNA from 1 species